CCAGAUAAACAUAUGAACAUGCGAAAAUUGUAACGCCCAAAAUUUAUACAAAUUUUUAAAAAUUUGUAUAAAUUUUGGGCGUUACAAUUUUCGCAUGU